UACGAAGGGGGCUAGCGUUGCUCGGAAUGACUGGGCGUAAAGGGCGCGUAGGCGGAUGGCACAGUCAGAUGUGAAAUUCCUGGGCUUAACCCGGGGGCUGCAUUUGAUACGUGUGAUCUAGAGUGAGGAAGAGGGUUGUGGAAUUCCCAGUGUAGAGGUGAAAUUCGUAGAUAUUGGGAAGAACACCGGUGGCGAAGGCGGCGACCUGGUCCUUAACUGACGCUGAGGCGCGAAAGCGUGGGGAGCAAACAGG
rnacentral:rRNA from 1 species